AUUAGUGGCGAACGGGUGAGUAACACGUGGGCAACCUGCCCCAGACACCGGGAUAACCUUCCGAAAGGAUGGCUAAUACCGGAUACGACCACUUCGGGGCAUCCGACGGUGGUGGAAAGGAUUCUGGUCUGGGAUGGGCCCGCGGCCUAUCAGCUUGUUGGUGGGGUAAUGGCCUACCAAGGCGACGACGGGUAGCCGGCCUGAGAGGGCGACCGGCCACACUGGGACUGAGACACGGCCCAGACUUCCUACGGGAGGCAGCAGUGGGAAUAUUGCGCAAUGGGCGAAAGCCUGACGCAGCGACGCCGCGUGAGGGACGAAGGUCUUCGGAUUGUAAACCUCUUUCAGCAGGGACGAAGCGAAAGUGACUGUACCUGCAGAAGAAGCACCGGCUAACUACGUG
rnacentral:rRNA from 1 species